rnacentral:lncRNA from 1 species
AAGCAGCUAAUCUAAGAGAAUUAAAAAACUUAAAUCACAUUGGAGGGAGCUUUAGUAUACGGAAUCUAGGAGGAGGUAUAGAAGAUGCGAGUGACGCUGCAGAAGCACAACUCAAGAAUAAGAAGCGCCUGCUUCGUUUGGAAUUGGGUUUCGACUACAACCAGGAGAACGGCAUUUUAAUUGAAGCUUUACAGCCUCCGUCAGACUUGGAAUGUCUGACCAUAUCUAGUUACGGAGGGUUGGAUUUGCCACAUUGGAUGAUGACAUUAACCAGAUUACAGGAGCUUAGACUUGAUGAUUGUACAAACCUGGAGGUCUUGCGUCCGUUGGGAGGAUUGCCCAACCUUGAAAUCCUGGUACUGAGCUCGUUGAAGGUGAGAAGGCUGGAUGCUGGAUUUUUAGGUAUAGAAAAGGAUGAGAAUGCCAGUAUUAAUGAAGGAGAAAUUGCAAGGGUCACUGCUUUCCCCAAAUUAAAAAGACUUGAUUUUAGGCAUCUCUUAGAAGUAGAAGAGUGGGAAGGAAUUGAAAGGAGAGUGGGAGAAGAAGAUGUCAACACAACUUCAAUAAUAUCCAUUAUGCCACAACUUCAAUAUUUGAGAAUUAUCAAUUGCCCGUUGCUGAGAGCACUACCAGACUAUGUUUUGGCAGCGCCUCUACAGGAAUUAGACAUAAGGUGGUGCACCAUUCUAAGGAAACGUUACGGGAAGGAGGAGAUGGGUGAAGAUUGGCAAAAGAUUUCUCACAUCCCAAACAGUUAUUUUUAUGAUUAGGUGAGAAAGGCAGAACUCUUUAGAACCUGCUUUGAGUGUAUUAAUUAUUUGCUUUGGUGUUUGCUAAGGUUGAGUGUAAAUAAUAUGUAAGCCUUACCAUUUACUCUAUGUGACUGUUUCAGUGGAUUAAAUCCAAGAAAUUCUUAAACCUCAGUUUCAGUGGAUUUCAUUCAAUGUGACUUUACUGUAAUUCGAUUUUAUUUCCUACUUACCAUUUACUCUCUCAUCCUCUCCCUCUCCCUCUCUCUCUCUCUCUCUCUCUACUGUAAUUGGUUUUAUUUCCUACUUACCAUUUACUCUAUCAAAAGCAGCUGUCAUAUUAUCUCGCUCACGUGAAGCUUAUUCCUUACUUAAAUUCUCCAAAUGCCACUCUAAAAAAAUUGCGUUUGAAAUUUCAACUACUGUAACUCAUAUCUAUAAUUAAUCUAUAUAUUUUAACAUCCUCUCUCUCUCUUUCUCUCUCUCAACAUAAAAUGAUAUGUAAUUCAUAUGUUUCUUUGAGUGUAUUAAUUAUUUAUUAUUGAAUAAAUAAUAAAUAAUUGAAGUAAGGAGAAAGGAAUUAUUUAUUAUUGAAGUAAUAAAUUAUUUAUUACUUCUUCGAGUAAUAUUAAUUAUUUAUUACUUCUUUGUGAUUUACUUCUUUGAGUGUAUUAAUUAUUUAUUAUUGAAGUAAGGAGAAAGGAAUUGAAUUUAGAAUGCUAAAAGUAAGCCAUGGGGGCAGCUGAAGCACAGAGGUGGUAAUUAAGCAAGUAAUCUAGCUAGAUUGCUGCCCUUGGAAGUUAUUAGUGUCACUUCCAAUGCAAGUUCUCUACAAUUUUUAAUCUUUGUAUCGAAGGCUUCAUGCAUGAAAUAAUUUAUUGCUGGAGGAGGAGCAGGGGCCCCUAGCUGCUGUUUAAUAACGAGGCACAUUGCAAUUUUUAAAAAUGUUUUUUUUUUUAUCUAAAGAUAUAUUAAAAUAUCUUCUUAGAUUUUUUUAUUUUUUAUAUUAAUACAUUAAAAUUAUAUAAAAAAAUACUAGAAAAAUAUUAAUUUGACUUUUUAAAGCCAAUAUACACUUUAAAAUACAUUUAAACACAAUUUCAAAUGCAAAAACAAAAAAGUUUAUGAAUCCUAUCAGCCCCAAGGUUGUAUUGUACAUUUAUUAUUGUAAUGUGAGACACGUCUUUCUAAACCAAUAUAUUUGUAAAAUUUAAAAGUUAACUCUUCAUUCAAAUUAUUUAAAUAACCUGAUAUGAGAUAUAUCAUACAUAAUUAUUAGAUUAAUUAAUUCUGAAAAUUUAAUUAAUUAAUUCUGAAAUUAACAAUAAAAAUUAUUUAUGUUAUAUAAUGUAAAUUGUCAAAAAAAAUUUUAACAUCUAAAUCUAUUGAGUUAAUGUAUCUCGUAUAUAAAACUAUAUUUUAACAACAAUUUUGUCCAUGCUUUUCUCAGAGGGAAGAUUGUUAAAGACUUCAACUAAACCAUGAAAAAAAAAUUCACACAAAGCCCUAGCACCAAGUACCAUGGGCCAGCGCUCCCAUGGCCAGGCGAAAAGCUCCCCUGAAGAGCAACAUGUAGAAUUCAGGUAAUAGCUAUCACGCACUUUAAUAAGUUCAAUUAUUAGUAUUUUUAGCUGAAAUAUUGCACAAAAACUGCUAUAGAGAAACCCAUAUUUUGAUUUUGCAAUACUAAAAUGUUGCAUAAAGUUAAAAGUAUGUGUAACUGUGUAAACCAGUGGAACUGUGUAAAGGGGACUUAUGAUUAUGUUUAAAUGAAUUUUUUAAAUAAAUUGCAUGUCUUCACCAACUUUUACCUGCUUUUCUCACUUUAAUUUCUUUUCUUACUUUAAUUUUUUUUCUUUCCAUUCAACUUUCACCCAAAAAAAAAACAUGUAAUUGGAUUCUAAUAUUCAACAAAAAAAAAAUCAACUUAAUUGUUAAAAUAAAAUUUAGAGAUUAAAUUAAAAAUUUUCAAAAAUUUCAUUGCUCCAACCCGCAAUGAGAGAGGGUAAUAAUAAUUUAAUAAACAGUAAAAAAACCCCACGCUUUAGCUUUAUACUUAAUAUUGAAGAUUUAUAUUUUUAAUAAAUUCAACAAAAUAUACUGAAUGUCUAGAAGCUUGGUGGCCAAGUUCAGAUCAUGAGUUUUCGUUUAUUGUCGAGGAUGAUUUGGAGGUUUCGCCGCUGUUUUAUAAAUUUGUGAGGGGUUUGAUUGUUAAUUACCGUUACAAUGUGUCGAAUUUUAGUCCUUUUAUAUAUGAUAUGGUGCUUCACUUCAGCGUCAACGGUUUGUCCCAGGGACUGCUCUUUUUUCAGGUUUUGUACUUGUUAGACUGGAUGUUUUAAUGUUCAAUGUUAAGGUUUCCAGAUUUCUUGAUUUGUUAUAAAAAAUUGAAUUCAUUAUAUUCUUUAAAUAUCCUUGGAUGUUUUUGAGUUAAAAAUCCACUAUUACCAUUAUUGUCGCCACCCCAAUCCUUUUUCUAUCCUAUAAGUAAAUUCUUGAAUUUAAUAAAUUUUAGUGCUUAAUUUAUAAAAUUAUUUUCAAUCAAGUCACACUUGAUUAAUUAUCUUAAUUUAAUUUCUGACUAAUGAUUCUUAAUGUAUAUGACCCAUUGAGUUUCUAAUAUGUUGGCCCCAAAUAUAAGUUAUGUUUUAAUGUUCAAUGUUAAGGUUUCCAGAUUUCUUGAUUUGUUAUAAAAAAUUGAAUUCAUUAUAUUCUUUAAAUAUCCUUGGAUGUUAACGUUUCUAAGGUGUUUUGGGUCAAAAGAACCUUGAGCUCAAUUUUCUAGCCACCACAGUGGUUGAAAUUUGAGCAAAAUAGACGACGCGUUGUUUAUUUUGACAGACAACAUGUCAUUUGAUUUAUUUAUUUUUUUAAAAUAAAACGAAUGACAUGUCGUCCACCCCAGGUGCAUUUUAAAAAACGACCUAGUCACGUGGUCCUUCCUUGGCAGGCCCGUGCAUGGGCCCUGAUGAAAGGGGUUAGGUAGACCCAGCAACGCCUAACCUUUUUUUUAUUUUUUUUUAUUUCAAUUAAUGCUUCUUUUUUUAUUUAAAAAGAAACUUUAUUAUAUUUAUAUUAAUACACUUUCUCUUUUUUAUUUUGUUUAAAAAGCCUUUUUUAAAAGAUGAUGAUUUUUUGGAUAUCCAUUUAAUUUUCAAAGAGAUUUUCCUUAUUCAUCUAUAAUUAAUGCCAAAUAAAUUGUUUCACAUCAAAUUAACCUCUACAUUUUGUUUCACUUUUGAAACUCAAAAUGACAAGUCAUUUCCAUAGAAACAUACAAAUAGAAAAAUGACCGAUGCAUAAUACUUAAACCCAAUGUGAAGCAAUGGCCAAGUAUAGACUUGCCUUUGCCUUUUUCCUUUUUACACAUAUUUUCUCAUUGUUUCAGUGACAUUUGCUUGCAUCAACCUUGUAGGAAAUUAGUUGCUUUAUACUGAAGUUUCAGAAUCAUACUCUAACCCCAGUCUUAAGCAAAUUAUCUUAAUUUGCAGUAUAUAUUGCCUAAACUUCAUUGAGAAUAACCUCAAAUUAAUUUUCUCUGGCACUCCACAGUAGAUCACUAUCCUUCCUAUCUUCAUCAACUUCUCAUUUCAUCAGUCAACAACGCCCCAUUACUUUCUCUCCUUUUUCUUGACACAUUCAGUAGUAAGAACAACAAUGGCUGACGCACUUGUAUCCCCAAUUUUGGAGCAGUUAACCACGAUCGUUGCUCGACAGGUACUCUUUUUUGUUUCUUUCUUUUUUUUUUGUUUUUUUUAUAAUCAACAGGUACUUAAUUACUUUUCUACAAUUUUGCAAUUAACCUAACAUUUAUAGUUCAUUAUACAUUGAUUUCAUUAUCUUAUAGAAUAUCUGUUAAUUUGUCAGAAGCUAAAUCAGUAGCUUGAUUUAUAUAUUAUCACAUUGCAUGUUAUCAAAUAAAAUACACACACAGACACACAAGAUAGCGGGUUCUUACGAUUCUCUUUCUUUAUAUCUUUUGUGCUAUACAAAAUAUGGUUAUUGUGAUGGCUGGUUAGAACAAAUCAAUAUAGUAAAAUAGUAGUAAAUUCCUUUUUCAAUAAUUCCUUAUCAUAUUUGAAUGCAUAAAUCAUUAUAUUUGUAAUAAAAUUAUUAUGAUAAAAUGAUUAAAAUAAAUAUAGUCAAAUAUUCGAUUAAUUACAAACAUGAUUAUAGAAAUUCUAAUAUUUCUUUUUUAUUUUGAUAUCAACCUCACAGAAUUUUUAAAAAAAUAGACUAUGAUAAUUAUUAAAAGUCACCUAAUAAUAUUGUGAAAUUGCAAUGUAUUGCGCUCCACAAUUAUAUGAUUAUUAUAAUAUCUAUGAAUUCUAUCUUUUAUCUAAAGAAAUCCUUUAUUCAAAUAAAAUAUAUUUUAAUUCACGCAUCUAGUAAAUUUUAGUACAAUAAUUGUGCAUUAGCAUUACAUUAUUUACGAGUCAUUUUAUUUUAGAGAGUUUAUUAUAUAUAAUUUGAAUAUAAUUAACAAUAUAAAUAUAUUAAUUGCUACUGUGAAAAAGUUUAAUAAAAAUGAUUUAAUCUAUUAAUUGCUAAAAAAUAAGAAUUUGUACUGAAAUCAUAGAAAUGUUUCCUAUGCUUAACGUUUCUUUUCCUCUGUACACUAAUAGGUACAAGAACAGGUGAACCUAGUAGUGGGUGUGAAGAAACAAUGUGACAAGCUGAAAAGCAAUCUCCUUGAUAUCCAAUCUGUCCUUGAAGAUGCAGAUAGAAAACAAGUGAAGGAUAAGGCUGUAAGAGAUUGGCUAGACAAGCUCAAAGAUGCAUGUUAUGAUAUGGAUGACGUGCUAGAUGAAUGGAAGCACUGCAAUUCUUCGAUGGAAAAUGGAGGAAGCUGUAGAAAAUACUCACAGCCGACAGAAGAUACAGUGUUCCUUCCUGGGAUCUCCUUGCUUUUGUUUCAAUCAAGUGGUUCGACGUCGCGACAUUGCCCUGAAGAUCAAAGAAGUUAGUGAAAAAGUGGAUGACAUUGCCAAAGAGAGAGCUAAGUAUGGCUUUGAUCUGUACAAAGCCACUGAUGAACUACAGCGACUAACAACUACCUCAUUUGUUGAUGAAUCAAGCGUGAUUGGUCGAGACGGCGAAAAGAGAAAUGUUGUAAGCAAGUUGCUGGCUGAAAGUAGUCAAGAAGCACGGGACGUGGAUGUCAUCUCUCUAGUAGGGCUGGGAGGAAUUGGAAAACUCGCCCAACUAGCUUUUAAUGAUGCUAAGGUUACGGAUCAUUUUGAGAAAAAGAUAUGGGUGUGUGUAUCAGAUCCAUUUGAUGAGGUUAGAAUAGCCAAAGCUAUCCUUGAGGAGCUUGAAGGGAGGGCAUCUGAUUUGGUAGGAUUGCAAUCCCUUUUGCGAAGGGUUUCUGAAUCCAUUAAGGGAAAGAGGUUCCUUCUUGUCCUUGAUGAUGUCUGGACAGAAAAUCAUGGACAAUGGGAACAACUGAAACCAUCUCUCACAGGCUGUGCACGAGGAAGCAGAAUUCUAGUGACCACUCGUAAGGACGCUGUGGCAACGAUGAUGGAAACUGACCACCGGAUCAACAUUGAGAAAUUGUCCGAUGAGAUAGGUGAGAAAGACAGAACUCUUUAGAACCUGCUUUGAGUGUAUUAAUUUAUUAUUAUUAUUUUUUUUGCUUUGAGAGUAUUAAUUAUUUGCUUUGGUGUUUGCUAAGGUUGAGUGUAAACAAUAUGGAAGCCUUACCAUUUACCUAUGUGACCUCUCUCAUCCUCUCAACAUAAAAUGAUAUGUAAUUCAUAUGUAUAAUUUCUCUCUCUCUCUCUCUUUUAAACCUCAGUUUCAGAUAAAUGAGAGAAUGGUAGACUUGGAAGCUAAACCUUUCAUCUAUAAGUGAUAUACCCAUCGAUUUUGGAGACUAAAUCCAAAUAAAGUUAUCCAAACCUAACACAAAAAAUCUUCAACAAUAAUUAAAUUACAAAUCAACAACAAAAUUCAGCAGCAAGGCCUAAUUAAAUGUUUACUCAUUUUUAUUUUUUUUAUAAAAAUAUGGUGAUCAAAUGCAGGUCAAAUAUUUUUAUUUUUUAAUAAAAAUUUAGUUCUUUAAAUAUAUUUUUCUAGUUCAAAAAAUAUAAUAAAUUAAAAAUUUUAUAUACAUCUAAUCAAAUAAAUUAAAAAAUAUUUAUGUUAAUAAAUAAAUAAAAAUUUGUUAAUAAUACUUAAAAACAAAACUGGUUCAAGCCUUCAUUGAGCUCAAUGUAAAGAGGACCAACCUGCCGUCAUAAAAGCCCAAAAUACUCCAUUAUAAAAGCCCAAGUAAAUAUCCCUGUCUUUCUCUCCCACACACUCGCAUUCUCAGUUUUUCCUCUCUGCGUCUUCAAGCAAUAAACCAUGGGUGAUAGCCAGUACUCCUUUUCUCUCACUACUUUCAGUCCUACCGGAAAGCUAGUACAGAUUGAGCACGCAUUGACUGCCGUUGGAUCAGGCCAAACUUCUCUCGGAAUCAAAGGUUGUUGCAAUUUAAGCUCUCUCUCUCUCUCUCUUUUCUCUCAUUUUCUUGUCAUUUUCGAAUGUACUAUGUUGUUGAUGGGUGCUUAGAUACUAUGUUGUUGAAUUUUUUUUUUUUGGUGUUGUAGCGGCAAACGGUGUUGUUAUUGCAACUGAGAAGAAAUUGCCAUCUAUUUUAAUCGAUGAAUCUUCUGUAAGUAAACUUUUUUUUUUUUUUUCGGUUUUGUUAUAUUCUUUGGUUGAAAUUCAAGAAACCCUUUUGUUUUUUUGCGUUUUUUAUUGUGUUUUCUUUGUGAACUUUUCGGGCUGGCCCUGCGAUCUUUUAGUAAUAACCUAAGUAUAGAGACAUGGGCUUGUAGCACUCUAAUUGAAGAAGCUGAUGAUUCUUGUGGAAAAGCAACGUGGAUUCUAGUCAAUGAGGUGUUGGUCUAGUAGUUAACAGGUUUAUAUUGAGAUUCUUAGGAGUCAUUUGAGUUUAGUGACAUCGGCUGGUAGAAAUCUGUUAAAAUUCGGUGUAAAUUUGUAAUUUUUAUUAGUAAUUUGAGCUUAGUGAUUUGGGCUCUUGCCAAUGAGGCGUUACUAUACUAGUUAAUGACUCUAAGAUUGAGACUUUGGAUGUUGGAGUCUCUAGAUUUAUAUCCUCAUUAAUCCCACAUUGUAUAAAAAGGUGUUGUUGAUUAUUUUAAAUCGUCUUGAAUGAGGUGGAGAUGGUUUGAUUUUGGAGCCAGUCGAUUGGUCUAUUAUUCUAAUUUGCAAGAUGGCAUGGAUUUUGGAUUAAAUCCAAAUAAAGUUAUCUAAACCUAACACAAAAAAUCUUUAACAAUGAAUGUCAUAACUCAAUUCUGGGUUAUUCUUCAAAAUCUAUUUUUUUAAAAUAAUAAUAAAAGCUGGCAACGUGGAGAAAGUAGGCGGGAAAUCAAGUUGCAAUUUUUGGAGGAAAUUCAAGACCUAAUUGUACUCCAUUAUGUCCAAAAAUGGAGAAAAAAAUGCAAAUUCAAGGUCAAAUUCAAUGAUUAUUGGACGAAUUUGCGUAAAAAUUAAGUCCAAUAACAUAAUUAAAUUUUUAAUAGGCCAAUUUGAUUUAAUCAUGGACCAAAUUAAAUUUUAAUUAUGUUUAAGAAUUAAUUUCGGUCCAAUUAAAGGAUUUAAUUAAGUGCAAGGACUUAAUUAUACUUUAAAUGGGUCAAAUUAAUUUUAUUUGGAGCCUAAUUGGUGAAAAAUUAAGUUUGAGAGCCUAAUUUGAGCAUAAUUGAGAAGAUUGGAAUUUUAAGAGACUAAAUUUAAUUUUUACCAAGUUAAUUGAUUGAAAUUAGGGGUCAAAUUGCAAGAAAAUUGAAGUUUUGGGGUCAAUUAGGGGUUAAAUUGACAAAAUUCACAACCAAGGAUCAAUCUGCAAAAGGCGCCAAACUAUAGGGGUUUAAUUGACAAAAUUCAGGGGUCAAAUUGAAGAAAUUGAAAGUUUAAUGGUCAAUUAGGGAUGAAAUUGCAUAAAUUCGAGACCAAUGACUAUACUGCAAAAGGCGCGUAAAUACAGGGCUAAAGUUGAAGUUCUGCAGGGGUCUUAUUCCAUUAAAUCAAAGGUUUAGGGUCAAUUAGGGGUUCAAUUGAACCAAAUUGAAAGCUAGAGGACUACAUUGAACUUCGGCAAAAUCCCUAAUUUUAACCCAAAAUGAUGUUGUUUUUGCGUUAAAAAAAAAAAGAAAGAUACCAGGCGACACGUUGCCUGGUCACUGUUCAUCUUCCCCGUGAACGCUGCCCGGGUAGCAGUUUUGCAGGUGCAUUUAAUGCCUCGCAUGUCCCCCAAAAUUGACAACACGUGCACCAAAAUAGUCACCUGAAAUCCCUCUAUCCCCGAGUAUUAUCUGGUCAGGCCUAUUAACAUGAAAACUGCUCCAGUGACCGGCCUGAAGUAGCCAACUCGGGCAGUUUUGGACUGUCAAAUUUGGCAGAUCGAGGUGCACACUUUGAACCAACGGUUGGAAUGCUUACCAACCAAACCAAAGGCCACGAUUUGACACCAUUAAAGAAAAAAUGUUCCUCUUCCAUCUCCUACAAAUAGGGCUGCAUUUCAUGGCCUGGAGGAGGAAGAAAUCGAGUCCAAAAUUGACAAAAAACCAGCCGCACCCUUCUGUUUUUCUCCUUUUCUUUUCUGCAACGAGUACUCUUUCUCUUUUCUCCUUCUCAGCCGUGCAUUCAGCCACCACCACUACCACCGCUAGCUUGACAACCAUCCUCUCCAGCACACUUCUCCCUCUCCAUUGAUUUCUUCUCCCUUUUCCUCCAUAGCGACAGCAGCUCAUCAGCACCACCAUUUUCUUUUUCUUCCUUCUCCAGCACCGGCAACAGCAACAUCAGCACCGACCUCCAUCCCCACAACCAGCUUUACCACCAUCAUUUCCAUCAACCCAGCUCUUCACCAGUGGCGGAGCAGCCACCGUGACCUUCUCUCUCUUCUCCUUCCAGCUUUUCUCUCUCCUCUGCAACUUUUUCUUCUUCCUCGCACAGUCGAAUCUGGCCACCAUCACCUCAGCCGACGCCCCCUGAGCCACCGGCUAAACCACCUCAUCACGACCGAGACCCCCACGCCAGGCAACUUCCUCCUCCCUGCUUUGCCUCUUUCUUCCUCGUCGUGGCUGCUGCAUGCAGAAUUUAUUUCUACAUGGAGUAAGCUAAUUAAUUAGCCCCUGGUUUGGGUCGGGCCAGUUAUAGCCCUGCCCAAGUGGUUGGGUCUUGCCUGGCCCCCAUUUAAAAAAAAAUCAAAAAAAGUUUUCAAAAAUCAUUUUAAAAAAAAUUUGGGAUUUUUCUCGCAUAUUUUUCUACCAAUUUUGCAUAAUAUCGGGUUGUAUAUUUACACUGUAAAAUACAAAUCUAGUAUUAAAAUACCCGGUUUUCUCCAAAAUAUUUCAAAAAAAAAAUCAAAACAUUUUCAAAAAGAAAAAAAUAUUUCGUUGCAUAUGGCCAAAUUCUAAAAAAAUUUCAAGCAUAUUUUCAUAAAAAAAAUUGCAUCUCUCUCAUGUUUUGAAAAUAAAAAAUGGAUAUCAUAAACAGUUUAUGAUCAUCCAUUAGUAUUUGGCCAACAUGUCAAAAAUCUUUUUCAAAUCUUUUUUUUAUGAUCUAGAUGUAGACUUUAAUAUUUGUGGGGUGUAAAAUUACAUGAUAAAGUACACCCUUAUGUAUUAAAGAUACAAGGUGUAAAUAAAUGCGAUGCCAAAAUUCAGACUUUAGAAUAGUUAGAAUUUAACCCGAUAAGGUAGAAACUCUCUCAUGAAGAGAGAUCUGCCUUGAGCCUUAGAAAAGACUAACGAAUAAAAACCCAACUUAGAAAAAAAACAAUCAAACAAACAAUGCAGCUUACCUGAGGUAGGGUGCAUUGGGGGUGAUGCGUCUUUCCCUUGCAUAACCAGUCCCUUACUCAUACUCUCGCAGACCAUAGAUUCCUAGUGACCAUAAUACUAGGUGGCGACUCCUAAACAUUAAUCAUAAUUCUAUAAUUAAAUCCAAAAACCCUUUCCAACACACAACACCUCACAUAGGAGGCACGGCAAAGAGCCUCCGCCGUCGCGGCGCUCACGCCCCCGCGACAAUGAAUAUGAUUUCUGCUAAUGAAAGGCAAGCCCCCUAGUGCCUGUGCUUUCUAAAUGCCAUCACAGCCCCAUUCAAGGAACUUCCAGACAGAGGAUUCUUCAGACCAAUAGCAUUAAUAAUGGAAGACAAUAUAGAUUCAAACUAUGAUAUCAGAAUCAAUAUAGAUACCACCAUAUUUGCUUAACCCAACAUACAAAGGACAAAUUGCAGAAACAAUGAUUCUAAACAUAAUAGAACCAGCACAUGGAAUAUAAAACAAAAGUUCAUCUCAACUCUAGUGAAGAUAUUCUAGGGGAGUUUUUCGAUCUAUUUUUGAGGGGUUUGUUGGGUAUUUUGAUUCAUUAGCAGCCUUCCAAGUCUUUGUGAUAUUAAUCCGUAAAGACAUGUAAAAAUACCUAGUUACCAUGAUGAGUUUCUCAAAUUUUUUUCAUAUGAAAAGAGAGGUUGAAACCCCGGACCAGUGACCUCCUAGGAAUCAUUAUGCACCCCAACCCACAUGGAAGUGUGAGAUCAACCUCUUAGGAAUCAUUGUGCACCCCAACUCAUAUGCAAGUGUGUAAUUGUUGGUGGACCUCGAGUUGCAGGCUCUCCCUUGUGGUUUUGUUUUUUAGAGUGGCUUACUGCUCACCCAUGGGUGGUGUCAAGGAGAUAUUAACUAACACAUGGUUUCCAAUUCAAGAGCCAUCAUCAAAAUCACAAGAUUCUGAUUGCCAAAUUCUCAACCAAAUAAAAGUUUGAUUAAAUUGAAUUGAAUAGCACCAAAUAUUCAAUGGAUCAACAAAAAUAAAAGGUAAUGUUUAUAAAACCAAUUUUAAUAUAGCUCAAAAUUAAGCGGAUCUUUUCGGUAAUUAAGGUAAGAACUUCAACAAAAAAAAAUAAAGAAAAGAAUUAAUAUGGCCUGACAUGGUUAAAAUAUCCCGGUAAACUCAAGUAAAAUUUGGUUAAAUAUUGUUGAUUUUUUUUGGAAAAAACAAUUUUAGUCAAAACAAUAUUAUUUUAAUUCAGAUUUGACAACUCAGGAUGCCUACUUUGAGGCAAUGGUUGGGAUCCUUACCAACUGAAUCAAGGGCUGAAAUUUUUUCCUGGUAUAAACAAGAUUGCUCUCUUCCACCUCCUAUAAAUAGAGGUGGAUUUCCUGGCCUGGGGGAGGAGAAAAUUAGGACCAAAGUCGGCAAAAAACCAGCCCCUCUGCCCUUGUUUCUGCAGUUUUUCUCUCCCUCUCUCCCCCCACCGUUCGAGCCACCACCUGCUCCACCACAGGUAGCUAGCCCAACCACAAGCUGAUCACCCCCAUUCCUGAAACAGUCACCGUUUCUUCCUCUCUCUCACCUCUGCAAAAUCCUUCUUCCUUCCCCCGUGAUCGACUCCGGCCACCAUUCCUCCCAGCGACGCCACCAAAACCAUCAACACAACCUCCUGAUCACGGCCGAGACUCCUGCUUCGAGUGAGCCGCUCCUCCGUCAACCUUCAUUUUCUGCAACCAUUUCAGUUGCAUGCAGAACGUGAACCACUGUUCACGUUCUGCAAAUAAUUAACAUUAACUUUGGGUCGGGCCAGUUAUGGCCUAGCCUAAUUGGUCGGGUCUGCCCUGGCCCAAAAAAAAGAGAGAAAAUGUGUUGGGCCAAGAUCGGCCCAUUGUUUUCUGGGUUUGUGCCUGACCCACUUAUCUGGGCCGACCCGACCCACAUGUUUUAAUAAUAUUUAAUUAAUAUAUAAUAUUAUAUUAUAUAUUUCUUUUAAAAAAAUAAAAAAAUAAAAAAUCCUUUGAAAAAAAUUGUGAUUUUUUCACAUUUUUUUCUAUCAAUUUUGCAUAAUAUUGGGUUGUAUAUUUACACUUUAAAAUACAAAUCCGAUAUUAAAAUACCUGGUUUUCUCUGAAUUUUUUUUAAAAAAAAUUUCAAAACAUUUUCAAAAAGAAAAAAAAAUUUUUGUUGCAUAUGGACAAAUUCUAAAAAAUUUCCAAGGAUAUUUUCAUUAAAAAAAAUUGCAUCUUUCUCAUGUUUUGAAAACCCAAAAAAAUAGAUAUCAUAACCGGUUUAUGAUUAUCUAUUAGGGUUCGACCAAAAUAUCAAGAACUUUUUUUCAAUUUUUUUUUAGGAUCCAGACGUAAACUUUAAUAUUUGUGGGGUGUAAAAUUACAUGAUAAAGUAUACCCUCGGGUAUUAAAAAUACAAGGUGUAAAUAAAUACGAUGCUAAAAUUUAGACUUUAGAACAGUUAGGAUUUAACCCAAUAAGGUAGAGACUUUUUCAUGAAGAGAGAUCUACCUUAAACCUUAGAAAAGACCAACGAAUAGAAACCAGACUUAGAAAAAAAAAUUAAACAACAACGUAGCUUACCUUAGGUAGGGUACAUUGGAGGUGAUGCGUCUUCCUCUUGCAUAACCAAUUCUUUACCCAGACUCUCGCAAACCAUAGGUUCCUAGUGACCAUAACACUAGGUGGCGACUCCUAAACAUUAAUCGUAAUUUCAUGAUUAAAUCCAAAAACCCUUCCCAACACACCACACCUCACACAAGAGGCACGACAAUAGCCUCUACCGUCGCCAGACGACGUCGCAUUGGCGCUCGACCCCCUUGACAACACUAUUAAAAAACAAAAAACAAUAUGUAAUGGCUCUUCAAAAUAUAUUUAAAAACACUUUUUACUGUCACUAAAUUUUUUUGAUCCGUAACAAAAUUAUCAGAAAUGGUCACUACAUAUAGUGUCAUAAUUAAGUUGAUGCAGUGACACCAAACCCUCUAUAAAAGAGAUUAAAGAUCCAAUUUAAUAAUUUGAUGAAAUUGAAAAUUAAAGAUCCAAUUUAAUAAUUUGAUGAAAUUGAAAAUUAAAGAUCCAAUUUAAUAAUUUGAAGGAAUUUGAUAUGAUUUAUUACUUUCAAAUUAUAUGUAAUCUUUUUUGUUAUGAAAAAAGGGGUUUGAAUUCAAGAUUUUCUUGGAAGAAAAAUACUAAAAUCAUUCAAGUUACAACUCAUUGAAGAUAGUUCAAUGCAGAUGAUAAAACUUGAAUAUCAAAUCCUGGAAACUACAAUAUGCUUAGCCUUCAGCUAGUUAAAAAAACGAAUAUCAAAUCCUGGAAACUACAGUUGAUAAAUAAACCUGGUCCUCGGAACCUGCUUUCAAGUCUCGUUAAUAUCACAUUGCUUAGCAAAAACCCUAAUUCCCGCAAGAACCCUGCUUUCAAGUUUUUCAAUUGCAUGAGUUGCUUUUACUUCCCCUGUCAUUCCAAUUUUCUUUGAUUCUCAUUUCAUCCUUUUAUGGUCAUCAAAUCUUUCUCAUUACUUCAGGUAUAUACGUACAUCACAUCAAUUUCAUUUUUCAACCUACAAGUCGUGCUCUUCCUUCACCACAGCCCUACAAAAACUAAUAAAAAAAUGUUGAGACACUAAAAUACAAGCUUCACUAGUAAAAAAAACUACAAGUUGCAAGAACUCCACCUGCAACACCAAACCCUAAGUAAAUAAACUAACUUCCAUUCACAAUCAGCCGCCUCCUUCCCUUCACCGUCUCUUUCUCUCUGCUCAUCCCAUCAUCAUUGCCUCUCUCUCUCUCUCUCUCUCUCUCUCUCCAAUCAGAACUAAACAGACGAUGGCUGAGGCACUUGUAUCUCCGAUCUUGGAGCAGUUAACCACGAUCGUUGUUCAACAGGUAUUUUUCUACCAUCUGCAAUAACCUGAUUUACCUAGCAGGGAUAAGAAAUAUAAAGGUCAAGCCUUUUUUCUUCCUAUCAUAAAAAGAAUACUUUUAACUUGAAUAAAUGAAAAUGGUAUAUGUUUGGAUUUUAUUAAAGAAUCUUCUUUUUGUUGUUUUAUUAUUUUUCAUAAUUCCAAAAAUAACCUAAAGAAAAUAUAUCAUUCCAAAUAUAGGAAAACCGAAAAAGGCAAAACAAGAGUUGCCAAUUCUCUUUAAACUGAACUAUUAAGGGUAAAAUAAUCAAUAAAAAGUUCAGAGGAUUAGCGAGCGAGUGUAUAUAUAUAUAUAUAUAUAUAUAUAUAUAUAUAUAUAUAUAUAAGGUAAAAUAUAUCUAUAGUUUAAUGUAAAAUAAAAACCAGAUUUUAUGUCGGUUCAAAGGAGAAAUCCUUCUCUCGUGAGAACAUUAAACUCUUUCCAUGCCUAUAUUAAUUAUAUAUAUAUACGUACAAGUUUAACGUUGUACCAUUUAAGAUUCAUUUUAUACCUUCUUAUACAGUAGCAUAGUGCAGACUGAUAUCAUCAUAAUGAUGAUAAAAAGAAAAAAGAAAUAUUAUUAUUUCUAAUAAAUAUUUUACAUAUAAAUUAUUAAUAUAGUAAAUCCAUUUCACAAUAAAAUAUAUUAAUACAAAAUAGAAAUGUUUCCUGUGCUUGAACUUCCUUGUCUUUUCUACACUAAUAGGUACAGGAAGAGGUGAACCUAGUAGGGGGUGUGAAAUUGUCUUGAAAUCACAGAAAUGUUUCCUAUGCUUAACGUUUCUUUUCCUUUGUACACUAAUAGGUACAAGAAGAGGUGAACCUCGUAGUGGGUGUGAAGAAACAAGUCGACAAGCUGAAAAGACAUCUCCUUGCUAUCCAAUCUCGCAUUGAAGAUGCAGAUAGAAAACAAGUGAAAGAUGAGGCUGUAAAGGAUUGGCUAGACAAGCUCAAAGAUGUAUGUUAUGAUAUCGAUGACGUGCUAGAUGAAUGGAGCACUGCAAUUCUUAGAUGGAAAAUGGAGGAAGCUGAAGAAAAUACUCGCAGCCGACAGAAGAUGCGAUGUUCCUUCCUGAGAUCUCCUUGCUUUGGUCUCAAUCAAGUGGGUCAACGUCGGGACAUUGCCCUUAAGAUCAAAGAAGUAUGUGAAAAAAUGGAUGACAUUGCCAAAGAGAAAGCUAUGGAUGGCUUUGUUCCGUACAGAGCCACCGAUGAACUACAACGACUAAUAAGUACCUCCUUUGUUGAUGAAUCAAGCGUGAUUGGUCGAGAUGUUGAAAAGAAAACUGUUGUAAGCAAGUUGGUGGGUGAAAGUAGUCAGGAAGCACGGGACGUUGAUGUCAUCUCUCUAGUAGGGCUGGGUGGAAUGGGAAAAACAACUCUCGCCCAACUAGCUUUUAAUGAUGCUGAGGUUACGGCUCAUUUUGAGAAAAAGAUAUGGGUGUGUGUUUCAGAACCGUUUGAUGAGGUUAGAAUAGCAAAAGCAAUCAUUGAGCAGCUUGAAGGGAGUCCAACGAAUUUGGUUGAAUUGCAAUCCCUUUUGCAAAGGGUUUCUGAAUCCAUUACUGGAAAGAGGUUCCUUCUUGUCCUGGAUGAUGUCUGGACAGAAAAUCAUAGACAAUGGGAACCACUGAAACUCUCUCUCAAAGGCGGUGCACGAGGAAGCAGAAUUCUAGUGACCACUCGUAAGGACGCUGUGGCAACGAAAUUGGGAACUGACCACCGGAUCAACAUUGAGAAAUUGUCCGAUGAGAUAUGCAGGUCAAUAUUCAAUCAUGUGGCAUUCCAGGAAAGAAGCAAAGAUGAGCGCGAAAGAUUGACAGAUAUCGGCGAUAAAAUUGCAAACAAGUGCAAGGGCUUGCCUCUAGCUGCCAAGGUAUUAGGAGGUCUAAUGCAGUUUAAAAGAACAAGAGAAGAGUGGGAACGUGUUUUAUCUAGCGAACUGUGGAGGCCAGAUGAGGUUGAUAGAGACCAGGUUGAAAGACAAAUAUUUAUACCGUUGCUUUUGAGUUACUACGAUUUACCUUCUGUGGGAAGACGAUGUUUCUUGUAUUGUGCCAUGUUUCCAAAAGACUACGAGAUGGACAAAGAUGAAUUGGUGAAGAUGUGGAUGGCUCAAGGUUACCUCAAGGAGACUUCAGGUGGAGAUAUGGAGCUUGUAGGAGAGCAGUACUUUCAAGUCUUAGCAGCGCGCUCUUUCUUCCAAGAUUUUAAGACGUAUGGUCGAGAAGGUAUUGCAUUCAAGAUGCAUGAUAUAGUGCAUGAUUUUGCCCAAUAUAUGACAAAAAAUGAAUGUCUAACAGUGGACGUCAAUAACCUUGGAGAAGCAACAGUGGAGACUUCAAUUGAAAGGGUUCGUCAUUUAAGCAUGAUGCUGUCAGAGGAGACUUAUUUUCCCGAGUUCAUUCAGAAAGCAAAAGGUCUUCGCAGCCUCUUGAUCAACACUAGAGACCCUUCACUUGGAGCUGCACUUCCUGAUCUAUUCAAGCAGUUGACAUGCAUCAGGUCAUUGAAUUUGUCAGAGUCUUCAAUCAGAGAAUUGUCAGAGUCUUCAAUCAAAGAAAUACCAAACGAGGUAGGGAAAUUGAUACAUUUGAGACACGUCAAUUUUGCAUAUUGUUAUCAGUUGGAGUCCCUGCCAGAAACCAUGUGUGAUUUAUGCAAUCUGCAAUCCCUAGACGUUACUUGGUGUGGUUCUCUCAAGGAAUUGCCUAAGGCGAUUGGAAAACUUAUCAAAUUGAGGCAUCUCCAGAUUGAUGGUUCAGGUGUGGCCUUCAUACCAAAGGGAAUAGAGAGGAUAACAUGUCUUCGAACAUUAGAUGUGUUUAAAGUUUGUGGCGGUGGUGAGAAUGAAAGUAAAGCAGCUAAUCUAAGAGAAUUAAAAAACUUAAAUCACAUUGGAGGGAGUCUUAACAUACGGAAUCUAGGAGGAGGUAUAGAAGAUGCGAGUGACGCUGCAGAAGCACAACUCAAGAAUAAGAAGCGCCUGCGUCGUUUGGAAUUGGUUUUCGACAGAGAGAAAACAGAGUUGCAAGCGAAUGAAGGCUCUUUAAUUGAAGCUUUACAGCCUCCGUCAGACUUGGAAUAUCUGACCAUAUCUAGUUACGGAGGGUUUGAUUUGCCAAAUUGGAUGAUGACAUUGACCAGAUUACUGGCUCUUGAACUGCAUGAUUGUACAAAGCUGGAGGUCUUGCCUCCGUUGGGAAGAUUGCCCAACCUUGAAAGCCUGGCAUUCUGGUCGUUGAAGGUGAGAAGGCUGGAUGCUGGAUUUUUAGGUAUAGAAAAAGAUGAGAAUGCCAGUAUUAAGGAAGGAGAAAUUGCAAGGGUCACUGCUUUUCCCAAAUUAAAAACACUUGAGAUUUGGCAUCUCGAAGAAGUAGAAGAGUGGGAUGGAAUUGAAAGGAGAUCAGUGGGAGAAGAAGAUGCCACCACAACUUCAAUAAUAUCCAUGAUGCCACAACUUCGAUGGUUGAGAAUUAUCAAUUGCCCGUUGCUGAGAGCACUACCAGACUAUGUUUUGGCAGCGCCUCUACAGGAAUUAGACAUAAGGUGGUGCACCAUUCUAAGGAAACGUUACGGGAAGGAGGAGAUGGGUGAAGAUUGGCAAAAGAUUUCUCACUUCCCAAACAUUUAUUUUGAAUAAUAUGUAAGCCUUACCAUUUACUCUAUGUGACCUCUUUACUGUAAAAUCCAAGACCUAUCACUGAUCAUGGCAAGACUCACUCCUCUAUUUCCAGAUCCAAAAAUGUCAAGAUAUUUUUAAUUCUUUAAUUCUAUGAAUAAAAACAUAGAUAUUGAAUUUUUUUUUUAAUCUUUCAUAAAUUGAAUUCAAUUUUCGAAAACUUUCUACAAAUCUAAAUAUGGAUAUUGAAAACGACAUCAAAAUAGGAACUUUCAUAGGUUUCCACACACUCCCAUAUGCCUUGAGCUUAAGCGCAGGUGGACAUCUUUUUUUUCUUUUUCUUUUUUUCCAAGACAAAUGCUGCAACCUAUUAAUCAUCCAUGAGCCAUGUGUGCAUACCGCACGCCUCCUUACAGGGCAUCUUCACUGCCGGACUGGUGGGAUUCAUAUAGACUUCAUAUGUGCUACUUUGAGGCUCCAUAUCUCCGUUUCUAGUGUUCUUGAACUCGUCAGAGAGCUUACACUGCAUGCUAUCUAUAACAACAGAUAUCAAGCACAGACAAUAAAGCAUAAGAAAAUUACAAGACAGAAAAACCAAUUCAUCGUAAUUCAAACGCUGAAAUCUCUCAGCAUACAAGUCCAAUUUACACGCCAUUUCCCAGAUUUAGUGCUCGUGGCAGAUGCACAUGAGGUAAUCAUUUCAUGCUAUUUGAUGCUUUCUAAAGUUACCAUAUAUGUCCAUAAUACGAGUUUGAAACAGAAACUGAUGCAAACAGCCAUAUUAAUCAUCCAUGAGCCAAAAAUUAAGAACUGCAAGAGUAAAAUGAACUGACUUCUUACUGCAAAAUGUGAACAGGCAAACGGUGGAUUUGGAAAUCAAGGGGGCAAGAAAAACCUUGUAAUUCAAAUAGGUGCACAGGCUAGGUGUGACAACCCUUUUAAUUCAUGAUCAGUGUAAAAUAUCUAUGGUUGUGGUAAUGCUAAUUAGAGUUGUUGAAUUAUAUUGCAAUGCAAUUCCAUGAUGUAAAAGUAUUUUUCAACUUGGAUUAAACUCACUUAAUUAGUUUAUUAAUUUGUACAAAAAUAGUUUUAUUUCAUAAAAUCUCAUAAAAUAGAAAUUACAAAUAGUAAUUCAACUCAUAAUUUCAUGCUCUCUCUUAUAUAAAAUUUUAAUUUGAACUAAACUAUUCUUUAUAGAAUGAAGUAUUAUUGCUUUCCAUCUAGAAAUGAAACACAAUAAAUUAUUUCAUAAAACAAUACAUGCAAAAUAAUUCAAUACUACUUAUAAAAGAAAAACCAUUUUAAAGUAUUAAGUCAAAAAUUCAGGAUGUUUUAAAGUAAUCCCUAGUAAUUUUGAUUUUCUCAUAAAUCUAAUUUUAUUGAGUGAAUGAAAGAUUUCAAAUAUAUAGUACGUAGUAUAUAAAUAAUUUUCUGAACCAAAGAAAGAUUUCAAAUAUAUAGUACGUAGUAUAUAAAUAAUUUUCUGAACCAAAGAAAAAACAGAAUUUUAGGAGUGAUUUAAAAUCAUGAACUAGAAUUUAAGUAUUCAAGUUGAGCAUAUUAAAUUUGAAUUCCCAGUCGUUCAAGUGCAUGGGACACAAAUCCUUCUUCAAGAAUCGUUGUGUUUUCUUCCCCUCGGAACCCAUUAAAACAUGGAGCCCAAAAGUAUUUAGAUUGCCCAAUUCACCAAGUCAUAAUGAGAGAACCCAAGCCCAAGCAGAGUACUCUGGGCUAAUUCAUUUUAUUUAGUACUAUGAUUAUUAUAUGCACUCCAUUAAUUAUUAGUUCCACUUCAUUUUGUAGCCACGAUGAUCAAUUAUGCAUAUGACCUCACCUCAACACUAGUUUUGUACCCGCACUCUGCAAUGAGGUGCAUAUAGUGUUUUUUCAGAGCAUCAAAGCAUUGACUAAGAAAGACUGACUGAAUUGAAACAGAACGCAACGAGACUUUUGGGUUUGAAACUAAUCCAGUGAAGACAGCAAAUAACCUUCUUCUUUUUUUUUUGUAAGGGAAGGCAAAUAGAAUGAGUUUAAAGCAUAAUGACUUAAUUGCAAAAUGCAUAUGAAUGCAGUUUUUUGACAAGGGAGUUUGGUGUUCCUGAAGCAGCAACAAUGGCUGCUAAGCUACGCAUAAUUUGUUGUCUUGUUCCCAACAAUGCCAUUCUGAUCCCAAACGCUGCUGAGUCUAGCAUGCUGAUUUCCUCACUAAUUUCGAUCUGAAUUUCAAUUUCCAGAUUUCAUAACCUUAGCCCUUAUUUUAGUAACCAAACAACUCUCUUCCUAUGUUCCUGCAUCUGCAUGUCGACUCUUCACUCUCUGAUUCCUGAAUCUUGAAAAGACUCUUCCUUUGUUUUUCUAGUUGUCUUGCGUUAUGUUUCUAGCUAAAAGAAGAAAUAAGUGACUUAAAUUAUGAAAAAGUAGAAAAAGACAAUGAAAGAAGUGCCUUAAAUCACGUUAAGUUAAGAAAGGAAUGAAAAGAAAAAAAGAAGAAAGGAAGGUGAUGUAGUCCAUACAAAAUGAAUCCUUUCCUCCAGAAAAUCUUGCUCAUUUCUUGUCCUUUUCACACCCAUUUGCUCCCCUUCACAAACAAACCUCCCCAUUUAAAGGAGCUCCAAUCACGCAAACCAGCAAUCCUUCCCAACUUUUUUCCAUGACCACAGCACGCUACUGAUAUCCACACAGCCCCAGCUUCAGACAGCUUCCAUCACGCAGACCCUUUCCUGUUAACACAACCGCAGAGCCUGUAGCUGCCGCCAACAAAACCCCAGCAUCCUCUCCAUGAAUAAACCAAAACACAUCCCUGCUCAUCCACUGAUAACUCCUUAAACUACCCAGAUACAUGACUUCCAAAAGGUAUAUGAUUUUUAAAGUUAAAUGUAACCUCUAAAAGUAUGGAGAGUUGGGGACUUGAAUUAUUCUUUGCACGGUGACAAAUGAAUUCUAGAAUUUAGAUUUUUAUUUCCCAUCUAAAUAUUAAAAUAUUUGACAUUAAAGAUAUUUUAAUAUAUUUUUAAACAAAAAAAUAUAUAUAAAAAAUACUUUACAGCAUAAUUUCAAGCACCAUCAACAAAUCCAAUCAUACAACCUCAACAAAUCUGGACCAUCCAUUUUCAGACCCAAAAUCAAAGAUCAAUAUCAAACCCCAGUCCCUGCUAUGAAAACAGGAUAAAAUCACCAGAUCUCAAAAACCCAGAUAGAUAGAUGCUUGUUUAUAUUUCCAUUACACAAGAACUAAUUGGUUACUAAUUUUGGUUUGUUUAAAUUAGUUUGAAUGGCCAGAUAUAUAUUACAUAAAAUGAAGAGAAGAAAUAGAGAAGCAGGAAUUUCAGUAGAAUGCUAUAAUCAGAUGUCCAUAUCAGAUACAUUCUUAACCUACGGUCAGUAUCAAUAAAAAAUAAUUGCUAUAUAUCGAAGAAGAAAUUACUUUCCACAAAUAAUAAUCCUUAGCCUAGAACUCGGUAGAAUUGAAAAGCACGAGUGUUUCACCUUUGGAACUCAAAAUGGCAUGUCAUUCUCAGUAGAAACAUACAACCAGGACUAGACUGAAAAGCUACAAUAAUAUAGGGACUGAAUUGAAGUGUUAGAAACAGUACAGGGACUGAAACAAAACUCAACCCCCAUCACCAAACCCUAAGUACAUAAACUAACUAAACCAGCAGCCUCCUUCCACUCACACUCUCUUCUCUCUCUUUCUCAGUUCAUCCUAACAUCAUUGUCUAUUUUUUAAAAAUAAUUAAAUUAAACAGACAAAUGGCAGAGGCACUUUUAUCGCCAAUUUUGGAGCAGCUAACCACGGUCGUUGCUCGACAGGUAAUUACUUUUAUACAAUUUGCAAUGAUCUAAUUAACCCUUACAUUAAUAAGAAAUAUAAAAAUGAUCUCUUUUUCUUUCUUUAUAAGAAAAACAAAAUAAAAUAUCAAAUCCUCAGAUCUAGAUUUGGAUUUUAUUAAAGAAAUUUCUAUUUAUUGUUUUAUUAUUUUUCAUAUUUCUGGAAAUAAUCUAAAACAAAUAUUCUUAGAAGGAAAAUGGAGUUGUCGAUCCUCUCAUAAAACUGAACUACUAAGGGUAAAAUAAUCAAUCAGAUGUUAAAAUAAUAAGUUUCAUAAUCUUAUUAUAAUACCAACAAAUAUUUAUUUCCAAAUAGAUUUUACGAAUACCAACAAAUACAGAUCCUUUUAUUCUCAAUAUUUCUUUGAUCCACCAAGCUUAUGUUAUAUAUAGGUUUGACGUUGAACAAUUUAAGAUUCAUUUUCUUCCUUCUUGUAUAGUAGCAGAGUGCAGACAGAGAUAUCAUCAUGAUGAUGAUAAAAAUAAAUAUUAUUAUUUUUAAUAUAUUGGUUUUUAAUAAAUAUUUUAUAUAUAAAUUAUUAAUAUAGCCAAUCCAUUUCACAGUACGUGUCAACUACUGCGAAAAAAAACAGAUUAAUAAAAAUUAUCUAAUCUAUUAAUUACCAAAAAUUAAAAUUAAAAACUUGCAGUGAAAUCAUGGAAAUGUUUCCUCUGCUUGAACUUCUUUAUCUUUUCCACACUAAUAGGUACGAGAAGAGGCCUAGUGGGGGAUGUGAAGAAACAAGUCGACAAGCUGAAAAGCAAUCUCCUUGCUAUCCAAUCUGUCCUUGAAGAUGCAGAUAGACAACAAGUGAAGGAUAAGGCUGUAAGAGAUUGGCUAAACAAGCUCAAAGAUGUAUGUUAUGAUUUGGAUGACGUGCUCGAUGAAUGGAGCACUGCAAUUCUUAGAUGGAAAAUGGAGGAAGCUGAAGAAAAUACUCGCAGCCGACAGAAGAUGCGAUGUUCCUUCCUGAAAUCUCCUUGCUUCUGUCUCAAUCAAGUGGUUCAACGUCGCGACAUUGCCCUCAAGAUCAAAGAAGUUAGUGAAAAAGUGAAUGACAUUGCCAAAGAGAGAGCAAUGUUUGGCUUUGAGUUGUACAGAGUCACUGAUGAACUCCAGCGACUAACAACUACCUCCUUUGUUGAUGAAUCAAGCGUGAUUGGUCGAGAUGGUGAAAAGAAAAAUGUUGUAAGCAAGUUGCUGGCUGAAAGUAGUCAAAAAGCACGGGACGUGGAUGUCAUCUCUCUAGUAGGGCUGGGCGGAAUUGGAAAAACAACUCUCGCCCAACUAGCUUUUAAUGAUUCUGAGGUUACGGCUCAUUUUGAGAAAAAGAUAUGGGUGUGUGUUUCAGAUCCAUUUGAUGAGGUUAAAAUAGCCAAAGCUAUCCUUGAGCAGCUUGAAGGGAGUGCACCGAAUUUGGUUGAAUUGCAAUCCCUUUUGCAAAGGGUUUCUGAAUCCAUUAAGGGAAAGAGGUUCCUUCUUGUCCUUGAUGAUGUAUGGACAGAAAAUCAUGGACAAUGGGAAAAACUGAAACCAUCUCUCACAGGCUGUGCACGAGGAAGCAGAAUUCUAGUGACCACUCGUAAGGACGCUGUGGCAACGAUGAUGGGAAGUACUGGCCACCGGAUCAACAUUAAGGAAUUGUCCGACGAGAUAUGCAGGUCAAUAUUCAAUCAUGUGGCAUUCCAGGAAAGAAGCAAAGAUGAGCGCGAAAGAUUGACAGAUAUCGGCGAGAAGAUUGCAAGCAAGUGCAAGGGCUUGCCUCUAGCUGCCAAGGUAUUAGGAGGUCUGAUGCAGUUUAAAAGAACAAGAGAAGAGUGGGAACGUGUUUUAUCUAGCGAACUGUGGGAGCUAGAACAUGUUGAAAGGAGACUAUUUCCACCUUUGCUUUUGAGUUACUACGAUUUACCUUAUGUGGAAAGACGAUGUUUCUUGUAUUGUGCCAUGUUUCCAAAAGACUACGACAUGCGCAAAGAUGAAUUGGUGAAGAUGUGGAUGGCUCAAGGUUACCUGAAGGAGACAUCAGGUAGAGAUAUGGAGGUUGUUGGAGAGGAGUACUUUCAAGUCUUGGUAGCACGCUCUUUCUUCCAAGAUUUUAAGAAGUAUGGUCUAGAAAAUAUCAGAUUCAAGAUGCAUGAUAUAGUGCAUGAUUUUGCCCAAUAUAUGACAAAAAAUGAAUGUCUAACAGUGGAUGUCAAUACACUUGGAGGAGCAACAGUGGAGACUUCAUUUGAAAGGGUUCGUCAUUUAAGCAUGAUGCUGUCAGAGGAGACAUCUUUUCCCGUGUCUAUUCACAAAGCCAAAGGUCUUCGCAGCCUCUUGAUCGACACUAGAGACCCUUCGCUUGGAGCUGCACUGCCUGAUUUGUUCAAGCAGUUGACAUGCAUCCGGUCAUUGGAUUUGUCAAAGUCUUCUAUCAAAGAAAUACCGAACGAGGUAGGGAAAUUGAUACAUUUGAGACACCUCAAUCUGGCAUCUUGUGGAGAGUUGGAGUCCCUGCCAGAAACCAUGUGUGAUUUAUGCAAUCUGCAAUCCCUAGACGUUACUUGGUGUGGUUCUCUCAAGAAAUUGCCUAAUGCGAUUGGAAAACUUAUCAAAUUGAGGCAUCUCCGGAUUAAUGGUUCAGGUGUGGACUUCAUACCAAAGGGAAUAGAGAGGAUAGCAUGUCUUCGAACAUUAAAUGUGUUUAUUGUGUGUGGUGGUGGUGAGAAUGAAAGUAAAGCAGCUAAUCUAAGAGAAUUAAAAAACUUAAAUCACAUUGGAGGGAGUCUUGGGAUACGGAAUCUACAAGAUGCGAGUGACGCUGCAGAAGCACAACUCAAGAAUAAGAAGCGCCUGCUUCGUUUGGAAUUGGAUUUCGACUACAACCAGGAGAGCGGCAUUUUAAUUGAAGCUUUACGGCCUCCGUCUGACUUGAAAUAUCUAACCAUAUCUAGGUACGGAGGGUUGGAAUUGCCAAGUUGGAUGAUGACAUUAACCAGAUUACAGGAGCUUAUACUGUCUGAUUGUACAAAGCUGGAGGUCAUGCGUCCGUUGGGAAGAUUGCCCAACCUUGAAAGCCUGGUAUUGAGGUCGUUGAAGGUGAGAAGGCUGGAUGGUGGAUUUUUAGGUAUAGAAAAAGAUGAGAAUGCCAGUAUUAAUGAAGGAGAAAUUGCAAGGGUCACUGCUUUCCCCAAAUUAAAAACACUUUGGAUUGGUAAUCUCGAAGAAGUAGAAGAGUGGGAUGGAAUUGAAAGGAGAGUGGGAGAAGAAGAUGUCAACACAACUUCAAUAAUAUCCAUUAUGCCACAACUUCGAUGGUUGACAAUUCUUAACUGCCCGUUGCUGAGAGCACUACCAGACUAUGUUUUGGCAGCGCCUCUACGGGUAUUAGACAUAUGGGGUUGCCCCAUUCUAAGGAAACGUUACGGGAAGGAGGAGAUGGGUGAAGAUUGGCAAAAGAUUUCUCACAUCCCAAACAUUUCUAUUUAUAGUUAAAGAAUAGUAAAGGCACGGAAGUCUGUAGGACCGGCAGGAAGAGGUAUGUUUCAUAUACCUCUUUACUGUAUAUUGUUGACUUUGGAUUGUAUUUCCUACUUACCAUUUAUUCCAUCAAAUGCAGCUGUGAUAUAUAUACCCAUCUCUCUCUCUCUCUCUCUCUCUCUCUCAACAUAUAUAAAAUAAUAUGUAAUUCAUAUGUUCAUAUUUAAAGAAUAGUUAGGACCGGCAGGAAGAGGUAAUUUUUUAUUUAAUUAUUGAAUUAGACUUAAAUUUUACAUGUUAAAAAAUUAAUCUAAGAUGAAAUUAUCUCGCUUAAAUUCUCCAAAUGCCACUCUAAAAAAAUUAUUCUACCAGUGUUAAUUCAACGGUAAAAGAUUUUACCAAAUCUAUUUUAACAAAUCUAUUUUGGGCUCCCCAUUUUUGUCAUUCAGAAAAUGGAAUAGUCAUUUUAACUUUGUUUUUGAUUCUUGACUUUGUUUUUGAUUUACUAAUUCUUCAUUUGUUAACCAAAUGAUUUAUUUUUAUUUUGUUCAGAGUGGCUUCCGAUUUGGUUCUGUGUUGUGAUUUACUUCUUUGAUUGUAUUAAUUAUUUAUUAUUAAAAUAAUAUUUUUUAUUUUUUAAAAAUUAUUUUUAACAUAACAUAUCAAAAUAAUUUGAAAACAUCAAAAAUAUAUUAAUUUAAAAUAAAAAAAUAAAAAAAUUUCAAAAAAUUUUUAAAAUGCUUGCUAGACUUUAAAGUUAAUCUAAAUAAAAUAAAAUAAAAUAAAAGUCAAGCCAUACAUACAAUGAUGCUUAUAUGUGUAUUUUUUUUUUUUAAUGAUCCCAAUACAUAUUUGAAGAAUAAAAAAAUUAGUUCAAAAUUAAAAAAAAAAUUAAAAUCUUUUAAAAAUACAACUAAACUAUGGCACCUAGCACCAGGUACCAUGGGCCAGCGCGCCCAUGGCCAGGCAAGGAGCUCCCCUGAAAAGCAACAUGUAGAAUUUAGGCGUAAUAGAGUGUCUGUAGACACUACUACUUAGGUACUAGCUAUCACGCACUUUAAUAAGUUCAAUUAUUAGUAUUUUUAGCUGAAAUAUUGCACAAAAGCUGGAAAAAGUCCAAUUAAGUGGCUGUUUGGUAUAAUUAUAAUAUAUUAUUUUAGUAUAUAUUAUUAAGACAGCUAUAUUUUAGUAUAUAUUAUUAUAGUAUAAUUAUAAUAUAUAAGUUAUAUUAUUAUAAUUAGCAUUAUAAUAUAUAAGUAUCUCACGACUUUUAGAGUAUUACUUAAUUAAUAUUGAAAAUUUAUAUUUUUAAGAAAUUCAACAUAAUAUACUCAAUGGCUAGAAGCUUGGUGGCCAAUUUCAGAUCAUGAGUUUUCGUUUAUUGUCGAGGAUGAUUUGGAGGUUUCGCCGCUGUUUUAUAAAUUUGCGAGGGGUUUGCUUGCUAUUACAAUGUGUCGAAUUUUAGUCCUUUUAUAUAUGAUAUGGUGCUUCACUUCAGCGUCCACGGUUUGUCCCAGGUACUGCUCUUUUUUCAGGUUUUGUAUUUGUUAGACUGGAUGUUUUCAUGUUCAGUGUUAAGGUUUACAGAUUUCUUGAUUUGUUAAUUAUAUUGGGUUUUGUGCGGAUGUAGUGUGCUUCUCAUGCUAAAACUUGCUUUACAAUUGCUAGGCUGAAAUCCUUUUAGUCUUUUGCUUGUGGCGUAAAUAUAUGUAUCAUGUCCAUAGGAUGCGAAAUCCUUUUAGUCUUUUGCUUGUGGCGUAAAUAUAUGUAUGGUGUCCAUAGGAUGCGAACUUGAAAAGUUUCCAUUUGGUAUUUCGCAAUUGCAUAAGCAUAUGUGAUUAUGACACGUACGUCAAAAACAAUAUGCAUUAAUUUUGUUGCUGGUAGAGAGUGCCAUAUGCAAUAUUUUCUGUCUCUUAUUGGAGCCUUUUUAUGAAAAUUGUGUUAAUUCAACAAUUCUCAUUACAUACCCCUGACCUGAUUUUUUUUAAAAAGAAUUCUUUUACCUUUUUGAGAGUGAUUUUGGUUUAUCUGGUCGCUGAUUGCAGGUAAACAUGGAAACAAAAUACAAUUGGAUAGUGAAACGCAUCUUUUCUUGUACCCAUUGGUUGGUACUUGGCGUCAGAUUCUCUUUCCAAAACCUUGGAAAGAGUUUAGGUUGUGGUACGAUCUGUCACGUUCACACUAGAAGAAAAGAGUUGGAUUAAUUCGAGGAAAUCCACAGCCUCCAAUACUUACUGAUUGCUACUGUUUUCAUGCCUUUCUCAUUAACAUGAAGGACUAAAAUACAACUGGAAAAUAAUAACUGACGAUGCACAUUUCUUGCUCAUUAACAUGAAGAAGAAAGGAAGGUGAUGCAGUCCAGACAAUAUGAAUCCUUUCCUCCAGAAAAUCUUGCUCCUUUCUUGUCCUUUUCACGCCCAUUUGCUCCCCUUCACAAACAAACCUCCCAUUUAAAGGAGCUCCAAUCACACAAACCAGCAAUCCUUCCAAAAAAUUUUCCAUGACCAGCACAUGCUACUGAUAUCAGAUAAACAUAAAAUGAAGAGAAGAAAUAGAGAAACAGAUGACAAGCAGGAAUUUCAGUAGAAUGCUAUAAUCAAUUUCAGGAAUUUCAGUAGAAUGCGAUAAUCUUUCAGUAGAAUUCUCCAGACCAAUCGUGUUAUUAAGUGAAGACCAUGAAUUCAAAACUAUGAUAUCAGAAUCAAGAUAGAUAGCAUAACGAUGAUCAUCAGGAACAACCCAACAAGAAAAAAAAAACAAGAGACAAGUUACCAAAACAUAGAUUCUAAACAUAAGAAAUGGCGCGAUUGAAUCACUACAUUACAUAGUAUAACGAUGAUCAUCAGGAAUAUAAAAUAAAAAUUCUUCUCAACUCGAGCGAAGAGGGUAUUAACUAAUACAUGGUUUCUAGUUCAAGAGCCAGCAUCAAAAUUACUAGAUUAUGAGAUUUAUUUUAAACACCUCAAUGUGAUAGUACAGUGUCCUAUAUGAGAUUCACACAGGAACCAGCAAGAUGUUGUGUCAUUCUAGUCAUACAUGUGAUUGACAUUCCAGAAGGGGGAGAUAUUUUCAAGAAGCGAGCUAAUUACUUGUAGAGAGCAGCAAGGUGAACCGGUUCAAUAUAGUGAACAUAUGUCUUUCACCGCUGAAACCAAACUGGAGUGAAAAUAUGGGUUUUCUCCAUAGCCUUAUCACCUCUAGUCAACCACGGGUCUCGCAGCAAAGGAUACGGGUUCAAGAAAACAAAUUCACUAUUUAUCAAGCCAAUCACCCCACCCUUCUCUUAAAGAUUACAACUUUUUACUUAUCUUUAACAACAAAGCAUCUUCAAUAAUCUUAACUCACUAAGUUUUCUGUUAAUUUCCUCAUCAACAAGAAUAUCAUCACUGCCAAACACGGUCGUACUUUUAUAAUCCUCAACUAAAACCAUUGUAAUAAAAUAAAACAUCGUAAUAUCUUAUCAAUUUCUUAUUCAAAUACCUUAUAAUAGACCUGGUUACAUGAUCCAUGUAAUACCAAGAAUCGAGGGACUUUUCGUUUCUUCUUCUUCGGUGUUUUUUUUUACUUUCAUUUUCGUGAUCUUCUUCUUCUUCUUCUCUAAUGGUGUCUUCUUCAUUGAUAUUGUCGACGCCGAGACUUAGCUUGGGUUUUGAAUGAGGGACAGUGUUGUGUCGAUACCAAGAGUGUUUUUUUAUUGUCGUUUAGAAUUUUUAAAUUAAUUUUCUUUUAAAAAAAGGCAAUUAAAUUACGUGUUUUUAUGAUUUUAAUAUAUUAAUAUGAAAAAUAAAAAAAUCUAAAAGACAUUAUUAUUUAAUAUAUUUUAAAUAAAAAAAACUUUAUACAUCCCUUGUAGACUUAGGUAAAAAAUUAUUUUUUUAAAAAAUAAAUAAUUUAAUAAAAUAAUUGUUUUAAAAAAAUAAUUAAACUUUUAAACUCUGAUCCGAUGAAGUUAAGUUUAAAAAAUUCUGGUUAAAACUGGUUCAAAGCCUUCAUUGAGCCCAAUGUAAAGAGGCCCAACCUGCCGUCAUAAAAGCCCAAUAUUCUCUUCUCCGCCACCACUAUGCCAUGCCUUUUAUAUAAGCAAACGAAUAUGUACGAAGAAGAGCUUAGGCCUACAAAAGGGGAAAAGGGAGAAAAGUUGAUACUGCUUUUUCUUCUAAAUAGACACCGGAUGACUAUUGCACCCUUGUAAUGGUAUCUGAUUCAGCGAAAAGGAGGGUAUUAUGGUAAUUGGAACAACUUAAAUCGAGAAUCUGAACCGUUGUAUUCCUCUGCAAAGAUGCACAUGCUGUUAACCAAUGAUAAAUUAAUGUAUAGCUGUUACAGUUUGUUAUUUAUUAGGACUCCAUUACUGCAACAACUGUUACAAUAUGUUAUUCAUUAGGACUCCAUUACGGUUACAGUUACAGUUUGUUAUUCUUCCUGCAACGUAGAGAAUUCAGUUAGGUUCUGUAUCUAUAUAUAUAUAUGUCUUCUAUUAAUAAUAUAUGUAAGCAAUUCUCUUCCAAAAGCUUCAGCUCUAUCAUGGUAUUAGAGCGUCUCUGAUCCUUUAUUUAUUUUUUUCUCUUUCUCUUCCUACUCUUUUUCGGUUCUGUUUCUCCCUCAUUAACAUCACCAUGUCAACUUCCAUUCCAUCAAAUACGGAAAACCACCUUAUCACCAUAAACACAGCUGCUCAAGCUCCUCUUAAACUCACCUCUUCCAACUAUGCUUCCUGGAAAAUUCAAUUUGAAACACUCUUUAUUGGCUACGAUCUCCUUGGUUACAUCGAUGGGUCCAAGCCGUGUCCCUCACUAACUCUUAUAACAGAUGAUAUCAUUGUUCCCAAUCUUGCCUAUAGUCUCUGGGUGAGGCAAGAUCAACUUCUAUUGAAUGCUAUUGUUGGCAGCCUUUCUCCUCCGCUUAUCUUCUUUGUCGUCCGCACCAUUUCUUCUCAUGAUGCAUGGCAUGUUCUUGCCACAACAUAUGCCAAACCAUCCCGUGGACGUAUCCGCCAGGUGAAAAACCAGUUAAAGAAUCUCACAAAAGGCUCUAUGAGUAUCACAGAUUUUGUCUACUUCAUUAAAGCAAAAUCUGACGAACUUGCUGUUCUUGGUGCUCCUAUGGACACUGAUGAUCUUACUAAACAAAUCCUCGAUGGUUUAGAUGAAGAUUACACAGAACUUGUUCAGGUUGUCCAAGCUCGCGAAGCUGCUAUCUCCUUUGAUGAACUACAUGAGAAACUUCUCUUAUUUGAAGCAUCACUUCAAACACGGUCACAAUCCUCUCGUCUUGGUCCUAUUACUGCCAACUCUUUCACCAAGAACUCAAGCAACAACAAUUGGCGACCCUCAAGAACCAACUGGCGCCCAUUCUUUUCUCCUAUUGGGAACACUUUUCGUUCCCUACCUAUUGCCAACUUUCGACCUGCUACUUUUCCCAAUCAGGUUCGCAAUAAUCAUCUGCCUGCACGUCCUUAUUUGGGCCAUUGCCAGAUGUGUGGCACUCAGGGGCACACUGCUAAACGAUGUCCUUCUUUUCAUUUAGUUCAUGUUCAUGGUUCUAACAUUGCCAACUCCUCCAAUGGUAUGCCAUCCUCCUGGAAUCCCCAAGCCAAUUUUUCUUCUUCAUCUCUAUCCACCGCUGCGUCAUGGUUACUAGAUAGUGGUACUUCCCAUCACGUUACUGCCGACCUCAAUAAUCUUUCUCUCCAUACACCAUAUAAUGGACAAGAUGAUGUUAUGCUAGGCGAUGGUACCAAUCUUCCUAUAAGUCACACUGGUUCAGUAUCUCUUCCCACAUCUAACUCUUUUUUCCAAUUACAAGAUGUUUUGUGUGUUCCCAAAAUGCAAAAAAAAUUAAUAUAUAUUGCAUUAUUCUGUAUCACUAACAAUGUGUCAAUUGAAAUUUUUCCUCAUUGUUUUCAUGUGAAGGACCUACAAACGAGGGACAUUCUUCUGCAGGGCGGCACUAAGGAUGGUAUUUAUGAAUGGCUAGUUGCCAUCUCUUCCACUCCUCCCAUUCUAGCUUUCUCUGUUGUCAACAAUGUCCAUUUGGCACCGGCGCUUUGGUCAUCCAGCCUUCACAAUUCUUAAACAUAUUAUGUCCUCCUAUCAUUUAAAUUUUUCUUCUCAAAAGAAUUUCUGCUGCAAUGCUUGCUUAAGUAAUAAAAGUCAUAAACAACCAUUUUCUGUGUCUAUUUUGCUCACUACUCGUCCUCUUCAAGUUGUAUUUUCUGAUGUUUGGACUUCUCCUAUUAUUUCACACGAUGGUUAUAAAUACUAUGUUAUCUUUAUUGAUCAUUUUACAAAAUACAUUUGGUUAUAUCCAUUAAAACAAAAAUCUGAUGUCCAAAUAGUGUUUCGACGCUACAAAGCAAUUGUUGAAAAAUAUUUUCAACAAACCAUUAUUUCUCUUUAUUCUGAUAAUGGUGGUGAAUACAUUGCUCUCAAACCAUUUCUUUCAGAACAUGGGAUUAGUCAUCUCACGUCUCCACCACAUACACCUGAACAUAAUGGUUAUUCUGAACGGCGACAUCUUCACAUUGUCGAAACUGGUCUUGCCCUUUUUUCUCAUGCCUCAAUUCCCACUACCUUUUGGACUUAUGCCUUCACCACUGCUGUUUACCUAAUUAACAGGAUGCCAACUCCCACAUUAAACAUGUCUUCACCAUAUGAGUCAAUUUUUCACAAGAGUCCUAAUUUUUCUAAACUUAAAGUGUUUGGCUGUUUAUGUUAUCCUUGGUUGGGUCCAUAUGCAUCUCAUAAACUUGAUUUGAAAUCUCAACCCUGCGAUUUUCUUGGAUACUCCCUUUCUUAGAGUGCAUAUCUAUGCCCUAACAAAUCCACUAACAAACUACAUGUUUCACGGCAUGUACAAUUUGUUGAGUCAGUUUUUCCUUAUAAGUCUUAUCCUACUGCAACUUCAAAUUUUCCUUCCCCCGUGUCUGACUGGAUGCCUUCACCUAUUUUUGUCUCAUCUCAAACCCCACAACAACUGGCUCUUUCUGCUCCUUCCUCACAAUGUCAUGCAGAUGCAUCUCCUUCUAUGGUCUCUUCAUCAAGUCCUCCAACUCAUGCCGAAGCAAUUCCUUCCAUCAUUUCUACUCCACAGGUACCUACUUCCCCCUCUCAUCAUAAUCCUUCACUUCCAGCUCCAUCUCUACCUGUUCCACCACCACCACAACAUUCCCAACACCCUAUGAUCACUCGGUCCCGGAAUAAUAUCCACAAACCAAUCCAGAAACUCAGUCUUCACACUACUAAACCAGUCAUCUUUCAAACAGAACCUUCCACCUCCUCUCAGGCACUUAAAGAUCCAAACUGGCGAUCUGCUAUGUCUGAGGAAUAUGAUGCUCUAGUAUGCAAUGACACAUUGGAACUUGUUCCUCCUAAUGGUAUCACUAACGUUGUUGGUUGCAGGUGGGUUUACCGCAUUAAAAGACAUUCUGAUGGUUCUAUAAACAGGUUUAAAGCACGACUUGUUGCAAAAGGUUUCCACCAGCGUCUCGGUGUGGACUAUCAUGAGACUUUCAGCCUCGUUGUGAAGCCAACAACUAUCCGCUUGGUACUCAGCCUUGCUGUCAGCCGCGGAUGGUCACUUAAACAACUGGAUAUCAACAAUGUUAUCGCACGUGUGCAGCGUCACGACGAUCAUCCACCCUCAAUUGUAUGGAUAUAUAUCUAGUAAAUACGGGGAGACACGAAAUUCUUUGUCUCUUAGCAGUAAAAAAAAUGGAAUGGAGUCGCCACCUAGUAUUAUGGUCACUAGGAACCCUAAUUGGUCUCAGAGAUCGGGUACGGAGACUGGUUGCGUAAAGGGAAGGUAUUAGCACCCCAAAUACGCCCUACCUAAGGUAAGCUGCAUUGUUUUAUUUGUCUGAUCAAAAUCUAAGGUUUGGUCGUGUUUUCUAAUUGUUGGUCUUGUCUAUCUAAGAUUCAAGAAAAGCCCUCCUCAAUAAGAAGGUUCUUAUCUUAAUGGGGUAGAACCUAACCGUUCUAACGUUGGAAAAAGAUUUAAUAUCCGGAAUACGUAUUACGUGUCAUAUCGUACCCUGGAUACUAAAAGACAAACAAAAUAAAAUUUUUUAUUGUUUUUGAAAUUUUGGCUAAUGUUCUCUUGACUUUAAUAAACUGGUUAUUAAAGCCAAAAUGCAUGUUAAAACAUUAUUUUUUUGUUUAUAAAAAACACAAUAUGAUUUUUUAGCUUUGAGACACUUGGCCGUAUGCACAAAAAUAUUUUUUCUUUUUUUCAAAGUUUUUUGUAUUUUUGAAAGUUUUGACGAAAACCGGGUAUUUUAAUAUCAAAUUUUGUAUUUUUAGCAACAUAAAAAUACUGCUUGAUAUUAAUCAAAAUGACAAAAAAAUACGCAGGAAACUUGUAAAAUUACAAACAAAUAUUUUUGAAUUUUUCUUUUAACAAAAAAAGAAAAAAAAUUGGGUCGGAUCUGGCCCAUCCAUCCUGGGCUGGGCCUGACCCGGCCCAUAUACUGUGGGCUGGGCUGAUGUGCCAGCCCAUAACAAAUAAAAGGACUGGUUACUGUGCUGCGCACAGUAACCAGCAAAAAUAUAAUUAGCUAGUUAAUCUUCAUUUUGCUGCAGAACGUAAACGUUCUGUAAAAUGAAGCUGAAGCACAAAACGAUGGGGGAGGGGAGAAAGUUACCUGGAGCGGUGGCGACGCUGGCGGCAGCGGAUGCGACAGGGGUGGUGGUGUAGGCGGCGACUGUUCUCCUUCCUUCUCUCCCGUCUCCUCUGUUUCUCUUCUCAGCCACCCUCUCCUCUGCCUUUUUUUGUUUUCUAACUUUGGACACAAAAGAAAAAAAUUAUAUCGGAGCCCAAUCAUUGCUCCACCAUGCACACAUGCUUAACCACCUAAAAGAGAACGGUGCGACGCUUCCAACACUAUAAUGGAAAGCGGUGCUUGGCCAUCGAGAGAUGCCACAUGUGUCAUUCAAGGAGCAUUGAUACCUCCCACUCUCUGACACGUAUUGCACGUGUCAACCAGUUUUUAUUUUUAUAUAUAUGUUAAAAGACUAAAUUUUUUCUCAUUUACAUUGAUUAUAACUAAAAAGCCAUAAUGAAAAUAUAAAAACACACCUGGACACAAGUUUUAAUUUUUUUUCCUUUUAAAAGCAAUGUAGUCAUUUAACUAUGCUAGCAAAACGUAAAAAGAAAUAACCCCUUGGACCUUAAUUGUAAAAAAAAAAAUUUAAGACUGUUUAAGUAAUUUUACUGUGCAUUUGAAAUGGUAAAAGAUCUAUUGUCCCUAAUUAAUACGAGAAUGACAAAUGAACCAUGUAAAAAAGACUAAAUUACCCCUAACAGCUAGUUAAAUGACUUUUUUAGAAGGGCAAAAUAGUCAUUAUAUUUUUUUAUUCCACAACGAUGAGUUUAGGGAUACAGUGAAACGUUGAUGGCUUUUUAUUUUUUAUAUUUACUAGAACAAUUUUUAAGGAUAUUAUAGUUAAUUUUUAAGGAUAUUUUAUAUAUUCAUAAAUUAAAUGUUAAUGAAAAUUAAGAAAAGAAAAGAAUUAAAUUAUCAAUAAUGAUUGAUGAGAAACAAAAUUAAUGUAAUGUAUAUUUUGAAUAAUAAAUUGAGAUGAAGAUAUAAAAUAUUUUUUUUCUAGAAUAAUUUUGAUUCUUUUAAAGUGCAUUUAUAUAUAUAUAUAUAUAUAUAUAUAUAUAUAUAUAUAUAUAUAUAUAUAUAUAUAUGCAGUCUCUCUAUUUUCAUUAUCUGUAUUUUUUAUAUUUCAAGACAAGAAUCAAAUGCUACAUACAAAUAUUAUACAUUAUAGAAAGAAGUAUAAUUUUAUUCUCUCUAAUUCUCAGUCCACCCUUUUCAAGAUUUAAAAUUAAAAUCUCCUCAUAAAAAACCUAAAUCUUAACAGUUAGAUUGUGGAUUUAGUAAUUAAUAUUAAAUUCUGUCCUUGUUGUUUUGUAAUUUAAUGCUAAGUUGCUAACUAUACUCUUAUAAAUUCUCGUACACAUUCAAGAAAAAAACAAAACCCUAAAGUAAACCAUUAGUGAGGUUGGAUUCCUUCCUUUUAUUUAUAAUCGUUUAAAACCAAACCCUUCUCUUUCUUCCUUCCAUCGAAAUAUCAACUUCGUUUAGAAUUUGAUUGCUUGUCGUUUUCAUUGUGCGGCAUUCCAAAAUUACUGAUUCGAAACCACAUCUUCAACAAAAAUAAUCAUCCACAUGCUUCAUCUGUGGAUGACAAAUUCUAGGAAUCUCAGCUAAUUGUGAGAACUGCUGCGACAAACCUAUGAAAGAUGUCAGGGAAGGAUUAAGAAAGCUAGCUAUUUCAACGAAAAAACUAUUUACUAGGGCUAAAAAACGAAAGAAAGCCUGCUUUUUUGUUCUUAGAGGGAAGGGCAAGGGCCAAGGUUGAUUGGACUUGAUAUAAAGAUGAUGUCUAAUAAAAAUGCCAUUGAUGGCCCUUUUUGCAGGCUGUGAUUCAAGGGCCGCGAUCAUUUUUGGAUGCUGAUUUUGUUUUUAGUAAAAAAUUAAAAUCUAAUAAUUCUAAAACUUGGAAAAAAAUUUCUAAGGUUUUAAAAAAAUUCUCAUCGAUAAAUUUUUUUUAUUAAAAACUAAUUAUUGUAAAAGCUGAAACAGAGAGAAGAGCAGCUGCUGGGAACCCAAAAAGGAUGAUUUUGUUUUCUAACUUUGGACCCGAAAAUCCCCCCUGUUUCUGCUUCUUUGUAAACCUCCCCUGUCUCUUUUCUCAAAUUUGUUCCUCCCUUCUCUAUUUUUUUUUCUUCUUCAAGUUUGUUUCUCAAAAGUUUUGCCCCCUCUGGUUUCUCUCUCUUUUUUGUUUUUGCAGCUUGCCUGUCUUCCCCUGCUCUUUCCCUUUUUUUUUCUCCAAAGAAAAUUGUUGGUCUCUCUCUCGGUCUCCCUCACUUUCUCUUUAAAAAAAUCCUUCCAGCUCUCCCUUCUUGAUCUCCCCCCCUAUUCUCCUGCACUCCCUCUGUAUUUAUAGGCAGAGGGAGAGAGGGCCACCAUGCCCUAUCCUGCCAUUAUGCAGGGCAUGGCAUGGUGGCAUAGGGGUGGCUACUCCACAGCCGCCCCUACCUCUGUAGGGCAUGGGUCUUUUGGUGUGAAGGCGUGGUGGUGUCAGUGAAGGGACAAGUCAGGUCGUAGUUGGUUUUUUGGUUUUUGGGAGAGAGAAAGGAGAGAAAAAAAUAGGGGGAAAAAUGCUUCUUCUUCCCCUGUUCUCUGCGCGUCCAGGGGAAGAAGCAGGCUUAUGGUGCCGUUCAAAACGGCACCGUUUGCUCUUUCUCUCUCUUUUUUUUCCAGUGAAAUGCAUGAAACGACGCCGUUUUGACCAAAACGCGUCAUUUCAUUUAAACGAAAACUGGCGCCAAAAUGGGUCAAUUUGCGCGCUUUUUCACUAUGGUCCUUGGUUUUGGAUUUCUUCAAUCGAGUCCCUAAUUGGCCACCAGACUUCAAUAUGUAUGCAAUUAAGCCCCUGAUUUGACCAAAUCAACUCUUAAAAAUUAUAAUUUGACCCCAGAACUUUAAUUUCUUCCAAUUAAAACCCAAAUUGACUUAAAAAUCAAUUUUUCUUGCGAUCAAACCCUCCAUAAAUUCAAUUAAACUUUCAAUAAAAUUUAAUUGAGCCCAUAUACAUCUGAUUUUGUACAUUUCUUCCUCAAAUAAAAUUUUCUUUAUCAAUAGGGCUCUCACCGGUCAACGAUAUACUGUCAAAUUUCAAUCCUUGUAUUUUUUGAUCCUCCUCAACCAAUUUUUGACCAUUUUCGGGGCGCUCUAGCAUCCUCUUUUCACUGCUAUUAUUUUUUUAUUUUUUUUAUUUUGUGCGGGGACCAAAAAAUGGGUUACAACAAAUGCUUUCCUUCAAGGUCAUCUUUCUGAAACCGUUUACAUGGCGCAACCUCCUGAAUUUGUUGAUCGCGAAAAACCGUCAUUUGUUUGCAAACUCCACAAAGCCAUUUAUGGACUCAAACAGGCGCCCCGGGCUUGGUAUCAUGAAUUGCGCACAUUUUUGUUGGCUUCUGGUUUCCGCAAUUCCCACUCUGAUCCUUCUCUGUUCAUAUUUAACAGUGCUCAGCAUGUUUUGUUUUUACUGGUUUACGUGGAUGACAUUAUUGUCACAGGCAGCGAUGACGACAUUCUAUCAGAUUUUGUUUCUAGCCUUGCCAAACGUUUUUCUCUUAAGGAUCUUGGCAAUUUGUCCUACUUCUUGGGUGUUGAAGUUCUUCCUCACAAACAGGGUAUUCUACUCUCUCAACGCAGGUACAUUACUGACCUGCUAACUCGUCUCAACAUGCUGGACGCAAAACCAGUGCUCACUCCAAUUCCAAGCUCUGCAUCUGCUAUUUCAUUGCUGUCUGACUCGCCUUUAUAGAAUCCCACUGUUUAUCGUGAAGUUGUAGGGAGUCUUCAGUAUCUUUCUCUUACAAGACCAGAUGUGUCAUUUGUUGUGAACAAACUAUCUCAGUUCAUGCACAGCCCAACCGAUGACCACUAGAUCCUUGUUAAGCGAAUUAUGUGAUAUCUUAUUGGUACACUAAACAAGGGCCUUCUUCUGCACCGUGACUCGCCCUACAAUCUUCAUGCCUUCGCUGAUCAACUUCAUGCCUUUUCAGAUGCCGAUUGGGCUGGCAAUAAAGAUGAUUAUUCAUCCACCAGUGCUUAUCUAGUUUACCUUUGGAGUAAUUUAAUUUCAUGGAGUUCAAAUAAACAAAAGACCAUUGCCAGGUCUUCAACAGAGGCUGAGUAUCGCUCCGUUGUUGCCACUGCUGCUGAGCUCUGUUGGGUACACUCUCUACUUCAUGAACUUGGUGUUGCUCUGUCUUCUUCACCUGUGAUAUACUGUGACAACAUUGGAGGAACUCAGUUAAGUUCCAAUCCUAUUUUUCAUUCUCGCAUUAAACAUGUUGUCGUUGACUACCAUUUCGUCCUAUUUUCAGGGAUAAUAUAAAAAAUUUCAUUAAAUUUAAAAAAAUGAUGAAAUCUCGUAUCUUCAGGAUUCACGUCAAAGUUUUUGUUAAAAUUCAAGAAAUUGUGAAAUAUAUUAUCUUUAAGGAUUAAUGUAAAAAAAAUAAAAAGUUAAAAAACUAGUGAAAUCUCCUAUUUCAGAAAUUAAAGAUAACAAAAUUUUCGUUAAAAUUCUUUUAUAUAUUAAGGCCAGUGCCAUAAAAUGACAAGCUAUGAAAUCUUAGAUUUUUAGGGUUUAACGUUAUUUCGACAAGUUUUUUUAUUUUUAGAAACCGAUAUUUAUUUUUAAAUAAAUCAUAAAUAAAAUCAGAAUAUAAUAGCAUAAAAUAACUUAGAAAAACAAAAGUAAUGGUAAUUUUUUAUUUGAAAAGAUAUGAUAAGGGUGGUGUUAACCUGAUAAGGGUGGUGUUAAAAAGAGAGGCAACAACGGAGAAGAAGAAAUAAAAAAGACAUAAAAGCACAGUAUCUGCAACAAGAAGAAGGAAGGAGAAAACAGGAUCAGACAAUAGAUAAAAAUGAGAAGUCAACUUCUAUUAUCCCCGAAAAAGAUCUCAAUGAGAAGUCAACUUCAAUUUCAUUUUUCAACCUACAAGUUGUGCUGAUCUUCCUUUACCACAGUCCUACAAAAACUAAUAAAAAAAUGUUGAGACACUAAAAUACAAGCUUCACCUGCAACGCCAAACCCUAAGUAUAUAAACUAACUUCCAUUCACAAUCAGCCGCCUCCUUCCCUUCACCCUCUCUUUCUCUCUGCUCAUCCCAUCAUCAUUGCUUCUCUCUCUCUCUCUCUCUCUUUCCAAUCAGAACUAAACAGACGAUGGCUGAGGCACUUCUAUCUCCGAUCUUGGAGCAGUUAACCACAAUCGUUGCUCAACAGGUAUUUUUCUACCAUCUGCAAUAACCUGAUUUACCUAGCAGAGAUAAGAAAUAUAUAUAAAGUUCAAGCCUUUUUUCUUCCUAUCAUAAAAAGAAUACUUUUAACUUGAAUAAAUAAAAAUAAUAUUUUAAAUCCUCAAGUAUAUAUUUGGAUUUUAUUAAAGAAUCUUCUUUUUCUUGUUUUAUUAUUUUUCAUAUUUCCAAAAAUAACAUAAAGAAAAUAUAUCAUUCCAAAUAUAGGAAAACCGAAAAAGGCAAAACAAGAGAUGCCAAUUCUCUUUAAACUUAACUAUUAAGGGUAAAAUAAUCAAUAAAAAGUUCAAAGGAUUAGCGAGCGAGUAUUUGGUGUGAAUUAACACACAAUCUUAUUAUCAUGCCUUUAUUUCACAAAUUAUACAUACAGAUCCUUUAAUUAUUCACUUGCAUUUAUACAUCCAUAUAUCUAUAGUUUAAUGUAAAAUGAAAACCAGAUUUUAUGUCGGUUCAAAGGAGAAAUCCUUCUCUCGUGAGAACAAUGAACUCUUUCCAUACCUAUAUUAAUUAUAUAUAUAUACACGCACAGGUUUAACGUUUUACCAUUUAAGAUUCAUUUUAUACCUUCUUGUACAGUAGCGUAGUGCAGACUGAUAUCAUCAUCAUGAUGAUAAAAAGAAAAAACAAAUAUUAUUAUUUCUAAUAAAUAUUUUAUAUAUAAAUUAUUAAUAUAGUAAAUCCAUUUCACAAUAAAAUAUAUUAAUACAAAAUAGAAAUGUUUCCUAUGCUUGAACUUGUAUUUUCUACACUAAUAGGUACAGGAAGAGGUGAACCUAGUAGGGGGUGUGAAAUUGUCAUAGAAAUGUUUCCUAUGCUUAACGUUUCUUUUCCUUUGUACACUAAUAGGUACAAGAAGAGGUGAACCUAGUAGUGGGUGUGAAGAAACAAUGUGACAAGCUGAAAAGCAAUCUCCUUGAUAUCCAAUCUGUCCUUGAAGAUGCAGAUAGAAAACAAGUGAAAGAUAAGGCUGUAAGAGAUUGGCUAGACAAGCUCAAAGAUGCAUGUUAUGAUAUGGAUGACGUGCUAGAUGAAUGGAGAACUGCAAUUCUUAGAUGGAAAAUGGAGGAAGCUGAAGAAAAUACUCACAGCCGACAGAAGAUACGGUGUUCCUUCCUGGGAUCUCCUUGCUUUUGUUUCAAUCAAGUGGUUCGACGUCGCGACAUUGCCCUGAAGAUCAAAGAAGUUCGUAAAAAAGUGGAUGACAUUGCCAAAGAGAGAGCUAAGUAUGGCUUCGAUCUGUACAAAACCACUGAUGAACUCCAGCGACUAACAACUACCUCCUUUGUUGAUGAAUCAAGCGUGAUUGGUCGAGAUGGUGAAAAGAGAAAUGUUGUAAGCAAGUUGCUGGCUGAAAGUAGUCAAGAAGCACGGGACGUGGAUGUCAUCUCUCUAGUAGGGCUGGGAGGAAUUGGAAAAACAACUCUCGCCCAACUAGCUUUUAAUGAUGCUGAGGUUACGGCUCAUUUUGAGAAAAAGAUAUGGGUGUGUGUUUCCGAACCAUUUGAUGAGGUUAAGAUAGCCAAAGCUAUCCUUGAGGAGCUUGAAGGGAGGGCAUCCGAUUUGGUAGGAUUGCAAUCCCUUUUGCGAAGGGUUUCUGAAUCCAUUGAGGGAAAGAGGUUCCUUCUUGUCCUUGAUGAUGUAUGGACAGAAAAUCACGGACAAUGGGAACAACUGAAACCAUCUCUCACAGGCUGUGCACGAGGAAGCAGAAUUCUAGUGACCACUCGUAAGGACGCUGUGGCAACGAUGAUGGGAAGUACUGGCCACCGGAUCAACAUUAAGGAAUUGUCCGACGAGAUAUGCAGGUCAAUAUUCAAUCAUGUGGCAUUCCAGGAAAGAAGCGAAGAUGAGCGCGAAAGAUUGACAGAUAUCGGCGAUAAAAUUGCAAACAAGUGCAAGGGCUUGCCUCUAGCUGCCAAGGUAUUAGGAGGUCUAAUGCAGUCUAAAAGAACAAGAGAAGAGUGGGAUCGUGUUUUAUCUAGCGAACUGUGGAGGCUAGAUGAGGUUGAUAGAGAUCAAGUUGAACGACGAAUAUUUAUACCUUUGCUCUUGAGUUACUACGAUUUACCUUCUGUGGUAAGACGAUGUUUCUUGUAUUGUGCCAUGUUUCCAAAAGACUACGAGAUGGACAAAGAUGAAUUGGUGAAGAUGUGGAUGGCUCAGGGUUACCUCAAGGAGACUUCAGGUGGAGAUAUGGAGCUUGUAGGAGAGCAGUACUUUCAAGUCUUAGCAGCGCGCUCUUUCUUCCAAGAUUUUGAGACGGAUGAGGAUGAAGGAAUGACAUUCAAGAUGCAUGAUAUAGUGCAUGAUUUUGCCCAAUAUAUGACAAAAAAUGAAUGUCUAACAGUGGAUGUCAAUACACUUGGAGGAGCAACAGUGGAGACUUCAAUUGAAAGGGUUCGUCAUUUAAGCAUGAUGCUGCCCAACGAGACCUCUUUUCCCGUGUCCAUUCACAAAGCAAAAGGUCUUCGCAGCCUCUUGAUCGACACUAGAGACCCUUCGCUUGGAGCUGCACUGCCUGAUUUGUUCAAGCAGUUGACAUGCAUCAGGUCAUUGAAUUUGUCAAGGUCUCAAAUCAAAGAAAUACCAAACGAGGUAGGGAAAUUGAUACAUUUGAGACACCUCAAUUUGGCAUGGUGUGUAGAGUUGGAGUCCCUGCCAGAAACCAUUUGUGAUUUAUGCAAUCUGCAAUCCCUAGACGUUACUUGGUGCCGGUCUCUCAAGGAAUUGCCCAAGGCGAUUGGAAAACUUAUCAAAUUGAGGCAUCUCUGGAUUGAUAGUUCAGGAGUGGCCUUCAUACCAAAGGGAAUAGAGAGGAUAACAUGUCUUCGAACAUUAGAUAAGUUUACUGUGUGUGGUGGUGGUGAGAAUGAAAGUAAAGCAGCUAAUCUAAGAGAAUUAAAAAACUUAAAUCACAUUGGAGGGAGUCUCAGAAUAGACAAAGUAAGAGAUAUAGAAAAUGUGAGAGACGUCGUGGAUGCACUACUCAAUAAGAAGCGCCUACUUUGCUUGGAAUGGAAUUUCAAGGGAGUGGAUUCCAUCUUGGUGAAAACAGAGUUGCCAGAGCAUGAAGGCUCUUUAAUUGAAGUUUUACGGCCUCCGUCAGACUUGGAAAAUCUAACCAUACGGGGUUACGGAGGGUUGGAUUUGCCAAAUUGGAUGAUGACAUUAACCAGAUUACGGAUGCUUUCACUUGGUCCUUGUGAAAACGUGGAGGUCUUGCCUCCGUUGGGAAGAUUGCCCA